AACGAACGCUGGCGGCGUGCCUAACACAUGCAAGUCGAACGAAGUCCUUCGGGGCUUAGUGGCGCACGGGUGCGUAACGCGUGGGAAUCUGCCCCUUGCUUCGGAAUAACAGUUAGAAAUGACUGCUAAUACCGGAUGAUGUCGAAAGACCAAAGAUUUAUCGGCAAGGGAUGAGCCCGCGUAGGAUUAGGUAGUUGGUGGGGUAAAGGCCUACCAAGCCGACGAUCUUUAGCUGGUCGGAGAGGAUGAUCAGCCACACUGGGACUGAGACACGGCCCAGACUCCUACGGGAGGCAGCAGGGGGGAAUAUUGGAAAAGGGGGGAAACCCUGAUCCAGCAAUGCCGCGUGGGUGAUGAAGGCCUUAGGGUUGUAAAGCUCUUUUACCCGGGAUGAUAAUGACAGUACCGGGAGAAUAAGCUCCGGCUAACUCCGUGCCAGCCGCCGCGGUAA
rnacentral:rRNA from 1 species